GGCCAUGUUAAAAAAAAGGUUUCAAAAAUUGUUUAAUGUAAAAAUAGUUAAUUAUAAACGGAGCUCGCGCGGCCAACAACUUAACAUUUUUAGUGAAAAAAUUGAAAAAUCCACCGACACCGAAACAACGCAACAAAAUGACAAUGAUGUGACAAUGGAAAUUAAUAAAUGAAAAAGGUGAAUUUAAAAUACUGGUGUGAAAUCUUAAACCAAAAAAUACAAUAACACAAAAUAAUUAAAAAAAAAACGAAACAAAAGUAUAAAAAUAAAAAAUAAAACAAAAAAAAAUUCAUUAAUUAUCAAAAACCAGAAAUGCAUUAAACAAAAGACUUCAAUAAGCAAAAAAACAAAAAACAACGUGCUGAAACAGAAACACUAAAGAAGGUAGGAAGGGCAUACUCGCCAACAAUCUACAUUAAAUACAGAAUGGAAGAUCAACACACAACCUCACAGGUCUCUUGAGGAAUUUAUUUAAAAUAAAACAAAAUAAUAAUUAUUAUCACAAUAAUCGUUCAAAUUACUCGUGAGGAAUUAAUUUAAAAGAAAACAAAAUAAUAAUUAUUAUCAAAAUAAUCGUUCAAGUUACUAUCGUACAAAUCAGAAUAGAGAGAAAACUCAAGCCAACUCAAGCCAAAAAAAGUGAACCAGACGGAUCAGAAAAUCAGCCAGAUAAUAAAGUAACCAGAUUAAAUAAUAUCAAUGAAGAUCAUUUUUUAGAUCUGAACCUUGCAGGGGAAUGCCUUAUUUAAAUAAGAUAGACAGAAAAACCAAGAAGCUUCUAUUAAAGAUUUUAAUAGAUACUGGGGCCACUGCUUGUUAUAUAAAAAAGGGAACUUUUGAAAACAAAAACGAGUUAUCAAUAUAUAAAAAGAUUUUUCAAUUAAUAAUGGUGUCGUCACUCGGGUAGGAGUUCCCUUUAACAUACGGCGGCGAUGAGGCGACCGGCCUUUAGUACACAAGCCAAAAGUGUAUAUGCGUGUAUGUAUUAUAACCUCCCACACUCCAUGGCUUUUGACGACAAACUCACCACGAGCGCGCCAUAAUUAUCUAGUGUGAAAAAAUCGGCAUUUUUUAGAUCCGUAUCCCUUCGCGUGUGCAGUGAUAUAUUUGGAGGUAAAAUAAUAAUUUGAUUAAUUUUUCUUCCAUACAUAGCCCUGCUCUGCUUCUUCAUC